rnacentral:lncRNA from 1 species
CUCCCCUGGGAGGCCUGUGCUAUAAAGGAAGAAGAAGAAGAACAACAAAGGGGAGUUACUCAUUUGGAACAUUGAAAGUCAAUUGAGCGUUUUAAAAUCGACAAUUUAAGUGAAAUUCUGAAGAGUCGGUUAUAAAAACGAGUAGAACAAGGGCAUACUGGCCACUAAGGUCGCUAUUUUUUGGUUUCCAAGAAAGAUAAUUUAAAAUUACACUUCGCUAACAUAUGGCAAAGCAUACAGAUAUUAUAAGUAGUGACAAAAAUGUGUCUGAAACUCCGAAAAAUCACAAAAUGUGAAAUGAUUUGACAUUGAAAACAUUAUCUUUAAAAACAACACUUUGCCAUGAUGUUUUAAUAACAUUUAGAUCGUAG